rnacentral:rRNA from 1 species
AUUGAACGCUGGCGGCAUGCUUAACACACGCAAGUCGAACGGCAGCAUUUUCUAGCUUGCUAGAGAGAUGGCGAGUGGCGAACGGGUGAGUAACGCGUAGGAAUAUACCUUAAAGGGGGGGACUACCUGGGGAAACUCAAGCUAAUACCUCAUAAUAUCUUUCGAUAAAAGCUGGGGACCUUCGGGCCUGGCGCUUUAAGAUUCGCCUGCGUCCGAUUAGCUAGUUGGUAGGGUAAAGGCCUACCAAGGCGCAGAUCGGUAGCUGGGCUGAGAGGAUGACCAGCCACACUGGAACUGAGACACGGUCCAGACUCCUACGGGAGGCAGCAGUGGGGAAUAUUGGACAAUGGGGGGAACCCGGAUCCAGCAAUGCCGCGUGUGUGAAGAAGGCCUGAGGGUUGUAAAGCACUUUCAGUGGGGAGGAGGGUUGACAGGUUAAGAGCUAGUUAACUGGACGUUACCCACAGAAGAAGCACCGGCUAACUCCGUGCCAGCCGCCGCAGUAAGAC